ACCAGUACCGUGAGGGAAAGGCGAAAAGAACCCCGGCGAGGGGAGUGAAAAAGAACCUGAAACCGUGUACGUACAAGCAGUGGGAGCACAGGUUUACCUGUGUGACUGCGUACCUUUUGUAUAAUGGGUCAGCGACUUAUAUUCUGUAGCAAGGUUAACCGAAUAGGGGAGCCGGAGGGAAACCGAGUCUUAAUUGGGCGUUAAGUUGCAGGGUAUAGACCCGAAACCCGGUGAUCUAGCCAUGGGCAGGUUGAAGGUUGGGUAACACUAACUGGAGGACCGAACCGACUAAUGUUGAAAAAUUAGCGGAUGACCUGUGGCUGGGGGUGAAAGGCCAAUCAAACCGGGAGAUAGCUGGUUCUCCCCGAAAGCUAUUUAGGUAGCGCCUCGUGAAUUCAUCUCCGGGGGUAGAGCACUGUUUCGGCUAGGGGGCCAUCCCGGCUUACCAACCCGAUGCAAACUGCGAAUACCGGAGAAUGUUAUCACGGGAGACACACGGCGGGUGCUAACGUCCGUCGUGAAGAGGGAAACAACCCAGACCGCCAGCUAAGGUCCCAAAGUCAUGGUUAAGUGGGAAACGAUGUGGGAAGGCCCAGACAGCCAGGAUGUUGGCUUAGAAGCAGCCAUCAUUUAAAGAAAGCGUAAUAGCUCACUGGUCGAGUCGGCCUGCGCGGAAGAUGUAACGGGGCUAAACCAUGCACCGAAGCUGCGGCAGCGACGCUGAUGCGUUGUUGGGUAGGGGAGCGUUCUGUAAGCCUGCGAAGGUGGCCUGUGAGGGUUGCUGGAGGUAUCAGAAGUGCGAAUGCUGACAUAAGUAACGAUAAAGCGGGUGAAAAGCCCGCUCGCCGGAAGACCAAGGGUUCCUGUCCAACGUUAAUCGGGGCAGGGUGAGUCGACCCCUAAGGCGAGGCCGAAAGGCGUAGUCGAUGGGAAACGGGUUAAUAUUCCCGUACUUGGUGUUACUGCGAAGGGGGGACGGAGAAGGCUAUGUUGGCCGGGCGACGGUUGUCCCGGUUUAAGCGUGUAGGUGUGUGUUCCAGGUAAAUCCGGUUCACUUUAACACUGAGGCGUGAUGACGAGGCACUACGGUGCUGAAGCAACAAAUGCCCUGCUUCCAGGAAAAGCCUCUAAGCAUCAGGUAACAUCAAAUCGUACCCCAAACCGACACAGGUGGUCAGGUAGAGAAUACCAAGGCGCUUGAGAGAACUCGGGUGAAGGAACUAGGCAAAAUGGUGCCGUAACUUCGGGAGAAGGCACGCUGACACGUAGGUGAAGUGAUUUACUCAUGGAGCUGAAGUCAGUCGAAGAUACCAGCUGGCUGCAACUGUUUAUUAAAAACACAGCACUGUGCAAACACGAAAGUGGACGUAUACGGUGUGACGCCUGCCCGGUGCCGGAAGGUUAAUUGAUGGGGUCAGCGCAAGCGAAGCUCCUGAUCGAAGCCCCGGUAAACGGCGGCCGUAACUAUAACGGUCCUAAGGUAGCGAAAUUCCUUGUCGGGUAAGUUCCGACCUGCACGAAUGGCGUAAUGAUGGCCAGGCUGUCUCCACCCGAGACUCAGUGAAAUUGAACUCGCUGUGAAGAUGCAGUGUACCCGCGGCAAGACGGAAAGACCCCGUGAACCUUUACUAUAGCUUGACACUGAACAUUGAGCCUUGAUGUGUAGGAUAGGUGGGAGGCUUUGAAGUGUGGACGCCAGUCUGCAUGGAGCCGACCUUGAAAUACCACCCUUUAAUGUUUGAUGUUCUAACGUGGACCCGUGAUCCGGGUUGCGGACAGUGUCUGGUGGGUAGUUUGACUGGGGCGGUCUCCUCCUAAAGAGUAACGGAGGAGCACGAAGGUUGGCUAAUCCUGGUCGGACAUCAGGAGGUUAGUGCAAUGGCAUAAGCCAGCUUGACUGCGAGCGUGACGGCGCGAGCAGGUGCGAAAGCAGGUCAUAGUGAUCCGGUGGUUCUGAAUGGAAGGGCCAUCGCUCAACGGAUAAAAGGUACUCCGGGGAUAACAGGCUGAUACCGCCCAAGAGUUCAUAUCGACGGCGGUGUUUGGCACCUCGAUGUCGGCUCAUCACAUCCUGGGGCUGAAGUAGGUCCCAAGGGUAUGGCUGUUCGCCAUUUAAAGUGGUACGCGAGCUGGGUUUAGAACGUCGUGAGACAGUUCGGUCCCUAUCUGCCGUGGGCGCUGGAGAACUGAGGGGGGCUGCUCCUAGUACGAGAGGACCGGAGUGGACGCAUCACUGGUGUUCGGGUUGUCAUGCCAAUGGCACUGCCCGGUAGCUAAAUGCGGAAGAGAUAAGUGCUGAAAGCAUCUAAGCACGAAACUUGCCCCGAGAUGAGUUCUCCCUGAGACUUUAGGUCUCCUGAAGGAACGUUGAAGACGACGACGUUGAUAGGCCGGGUGUGUAAGCGCAGCGAUGCGUUGAGCUAACCGGUACUAAUGAACCGUGAGGCUUAACCUU
rnacentral:rRNA from 1 species